rnacentral:pre_miRNA from 1 species
UAAUCUCAUUUGGUAACUGUGAGGUUUGUUUAUUCCUCAGACUACUGAAUGGGAUCGAC